rnacentral:rRNA from 1 species
UACGUAAAAGACUAGUGUUAUUCAUCUUCAAUAGGUUUAAAGGGUACCUAGACGGUAAUAUUAGCUCAAAACAGAGUACAAUAUUACUAGAGUUUUUAUAUGAGAUGGGGGAGUAUUCAUAGAGUAGAGAUGAAAUUUUUUGAUACUAUUAGGACUGAUAAUAGCGAAAGCAACCUUUUAUGUAAUAACUGACGUUGAGGGACGAAGGCCUGGGUAACGAACAGG